UACGGAGGGGGCUAGCGUUGUUCGGAUUUACUGGGCGUAAAGGGCGCGUAGGCGGCUUUUUAAGUCAGGGGUGAAAUCCUGGGGCUCAACUCCAGAACUGCCCUCGAUACUGAGGAUCUGGAGUGCGGGAGAGGUGAGUGGAACUCCGAGUGUAGAGGUGAAAUUCGUAGAUAUUCGGAAGAACACCAGUGGCGAAGGCGGCUCACUGGCCCGGUACUGACGCUGAGGUGCGAAAGCGUGGGGAGCAAACAGG
rnacentral:rRNA from 1 species